UUAUGAUGAAACUCAAAACAUAGCUGGAAUUACCGGCAGAUUGUUUAGUGUUGAUUUCUUGUUUUCUGAAC
rnacentral:snoRNA from 1 species